AUUGAACGCUGGCGGAAUGCUUUACACAUGCAAGUCGAACGGCAGCACGGGGGCAACCCUGGUGGCGAGUGGCGAACGGGUGAGUAAUACAUCGGAACGUGCCCAGUCGUGGGGGAUAACGUAGCGAAAGUUACGCUAAUACCGCAUACGAUCUACGGAUGAAAGCGGGGGACCGUAAGGCCUCGCGCGAUUGGAGCGGCCGAUGUCAGAUUAGGUAGUUGGUGAGGUAAAGGCUCACCAAGCCGACGAUCUGUAGCUGGUCUGAGAGGACGUCCAGCCACAAUGAGAGUGGGACACGGCCCAGACUCCUACGGGGGGCAGCAGUGGGGAAUGUUGGACAAUGGGCGCAAGCCUGAUCCAGCCAUUCCGCGUGCAGGACGAAGGCCUUCGGGUUGUAAACUGCUUUUGUACGGAACGAAAAGGCUCUGGUUAAUACCUGGGGCUCAUGACGGUACCGUAAGAAUAAGCACCGGCUAACUACGUGCCAGCCGCCGCGGUAA
rnacentral:rRNA from 1 species